GUCGAGCGAAACACAUAGAACGGAUUCUUCGGAAGGAAGGACUUAGUGAUUGAGCGGCGGACGGGUGAGUAACGCGUGGNUAACCUACCUCAUACAGGGGGAUAACAGUUAGAAAUGGCUGCUAAUACCGCAUAAGACCGCAGCACCGCAUGGUGCAGUGGUAAAAACUCCGGUGGUAUGAGAUGGACCCGCGUGGGAAA
rnacentral:rRNA from 1 species